UGGGGAAUAUUGGACAAUGGGCGCAAGCCUGAUCCAGCCAUGCCGCGUGAGUGAUGACGGCCUUAGGGUUGUAAAGCUCUUUCGCACGCGACGAUAAUGACGGUAGCGUGAGAAGAAGCCCCGGCUAACUUCGUGCCAGCAGCCGCGGUAAUACGAAGGGGGCUAGCGUUGUUCGGAAUCACUGGGCGUAAAGGGUGCGUAGGCGGAUUCUUAAGUCAGGGGUGAAAUCCCGAGGCUCAACCUCGGAACUGCCUUUGAUACUGGGGAUCUUGAGUCCGGAAGAGGUGAGUGGAACUGCGAGUGUAGAGGUGAAAUUCGUAGAUAUUCGCAAGAACACCGGUGGCGAAGGCGGCUCACUGGUCCGGAACUGACGCUGAGGCACGACAGCGUGGGGAGCAAA
rnacentral:rRNA from 1 species